AUUUACACACUUGUACUUUAACAAACUCCUCCUAGAGAAUUAAUCCAAUCGACUUCAAAUUUUCACUGUGUAGUCUACACCAUUGACGAUUAAAAGAUGCACAAAUGGUCGACCGGUUUGCCCUUGGCGUGUUGUUGAAAAGCAAUGAUUCGCCAUGAAACAGGAAGUAAUUAUAACUUCAGUAUACAUGCUCACAUCUGCACCAAAUUUGAUAAGUAUAAUAAGAGUCGCGCCCUGAACACAUAUGCCAAUAUGUCAUGUCAAAGUCAUAGCGCCACCUGCUGGCAACAGGAAAUUACACGUUUUACUUUGUAAUGUACUACUUCUAGCAGGUUGGCCAUAUCAACUUCAAAUCUGUCCCAGAAAACCCUUAACACAUUGACGAUGCCAUGUUGUAAAACCUUUGAGUUUUUGGUUAAUGGCGUGGCAGAGAAUUUCCACGCUUCGCCAUGACACAGGAAGUAGUUGUAAUUUGACUGUGCAUGCUCAGAUCUGUACCAAAUUUUACACGUCCCGCCCUGAAUACAUGUACAAGCCAACAUUCACCCAUAGUCAUAGCGCCACCUGCUAAGAGGAAGUUAAAAGCAGCCCCCGCUGCACGUUGGACCUACAUGUAAAAAAUAUCUGUAGCACAUGUAUCAUGUUCAGAUGUACAAAAAAGCCUCUUGGCGCGAUGCUUUAUUGUGAGCAUGUGCAAAAGUGUCCUUAUAAUCAAUUUGUUUAAUAAGGGAGAAAAAAAGGAAAACAGGAAUCCCGCGCAGUACCGUCUGAGCUAGACGUGUAGGUGAGGUAGCAAGGAUUGAAUUUGUUCUGGCCGGCCAUGUAACGGCUUGGAAAAAAUUGGUCUGAUGCCAGACUUAUUAAAUAAUAUUUCUACUUAAUAAGCCACUUUAUUUUAGUGUUUACUUACAAACUACUUUAAUCUGCUCACCCUGCUUUCCCCUUCAGACACACACUCUGUCUGCUCCAUUGACUUUAGUUGUCAGCAGUUUUAUAAAGACAAAACCCGUUUGGAUUUUGUUUUCAACCAUGAUCCCCGUUUUUUUGUUGUUGUUGUUAAUUACAGACUGUGGUACUGAGACGCGGCACCAACUGCUUGGUGCUUAUAAAAUAUCCAGUGUCUUCUAAUGUAGCCUAUUAAAAGAUAACGUCUCUGUGUGUUUCUCCGCAGGUUAAAUUGCGAGUGUUGUUUUCACUCAACGGUGAAGAACUUCCUCGCCUACGACAUGUUUUAUUGUGUGUGACCAUUAUGGGUGUUUCAGUCAGAUGCAAAUUAAAUCAAUGCCAACCAUGGACAUAACGCCUUGUGUUGUAGGUGGCUGCGGCAAUAAGCAAAUAUUUGGACAUGUUUGAAGGAACAGAGCCAAAUCUUUAACUGAGUGUCUGAACCAGGAGUUAGAGAUAAUACAAUCUGAGUAAAGAAACUACAUAGAAGCAAAUGAAAAGCAAUUGAUAAAAUCUGUUAAUGACAAGACAUUUACAUAAUUUACAAUUUCGCGCUUAAGUUUCAUGCACCUUUUUACUUUUAAUCAAUACAGAGUCACAAAAGCCUCUUACAAAUCAUGAGAAGACGAAUAUCUCACCUUCUGAAGUCCUUGUAAGCCUCCUCAGGAUUUCAGUUUGUCACCAUCUCUCCUGGUUAUAUUUUUACUGGAGAUUUUGCUGAGUUGAAUACUGUGAAAAUGCAAUGAAAAUUAAACCUUGCUGCUGUCUUCACCUGAGUGAUAGCCCUCACUUGUUCUUGUUUAGCCCAUCCCUGCCACAUCACUUCCUGUAACAGCAGUUUAAAGCACAGUCACACCCACAAACAGACUUAGAGUUUUAAAAAAACAAACAAAACUAAUAAUAAAACAUAAGACAAAUUGAAAGCUUAACAAUUCCCCCCAAACUCUGUUCCAAAUGGGAACUGGUUUUAAAUUAGAAAAAUAGUAAAGAAGAAACAAGCGAGUCAAACAACCUUUGAAACGCAGUGUUUUUUUAGAAUCUAUUUAUAGUCCUGGGUGUGCACAGUUUCCUCAUUGUUUCUCUUCUCCUCUGCAGUCUUGCCUGUGUUUGCAUGAGGGCAGGGCUGAUAUUGUACACCUCACACACCGGUGGUGGGAGAAGAAUUCAGAUCCUUUUACAUUGGUAAACAUAGUGAUAACACAAUGUCAGAAUACUCAAUGACAACUAAAAGGCUUGCAUUAAAAAUCUAAUUUAAGUGUAUGUACAGUAUAGUCAGAAAACUGUGAUUAAAGCAUCACAUGGACAUUUUACAUUAUUUUAUGCUAAUUUGUAAAAAUGCCACAGCAACGCUAAAGUGAAUCUAAAAUAUUAAAUUAGGGUAUUUAAGAUGCCAGACGACAGAAUGACCAUAACUAGAAUUGCCACUGUUUGAAUACCACUGUCCUCAUUCCAAACCCUUUGAAACAUUAUCUGUAAGUAUUACAUUUAUUUAAUGUAUGUGUGUGAGGAUUCUGUUUAGUUGAGAGAUUUUUAACAUUAAGCGAUUCUAAUCCAAUACACUUGUUUCUGUCAAAUUCAGUAUCUGUGGAUCGGACCGGGCCCCACAACACUAUUCCAGCCGUGAUUUGCAUGUCAGAUUUGCAGCCUUUUUUGCAUUUACUAAUUUUUCUGGGAUUAAAAUUUCACCCAGUUAUCGAGAUAAUUCUGGCAUGAACGGAAAGCUGCACAACACUAAAGAUUAUCCAAUAAGCAGCGCAGACCGCAGAGUAAUGCCAAGUAAAGGUAUUUCCACCUACAGUUCCCUAUAACAAGCUUUAUCUGGUGUGAUCAGUAUCAGCUCUUCAUUGAAGCUAAAUGUUGGUUACACUGCUAGUUACACAGUCAACCCCACUGUCUUGGCGUGGAUCACAGAUUAUCUCUUGGACAUAUCUGCAUGGAUGAUCCCUCAAAACAGGGUGGUGAGAAACUUGGGAGUCAUGAUUGAUGGCCGUCCCGGACCAUGUUGCCCUUGACUCCCAGGUGGCUACUCUGCUCUAUACAACAUAGAAAAAAAUCAGGCCCUACUUAACUCACUAUGCUACCAAGCUUCUGGUACAGGCCAUGGUUGUCUCUCGCCUUGAUUAUUGCACUGCCGUCCUGGUGGUUCUCCCAGCAAACUGCCACAUAUGGUCCAGAACGCGGCGGUGUGUCUGGUUUUUUGACCAACCCAAUAGGAUGCAUGUCGCUCCAACUCAUCUCUUCCAAGAACACUUUCUCUUUUAACCCCUAACCUCUAACAUGCACUUCCUGUGCUCCUCUUCCUCUAUCUCCCUACAACUCGAUUGUCUUGAUUGCACUGUUUGUUAACUCUUGUUGCUUCCCCUUAGUUUCUACCCCAUUGUUGCAGUAUGUGUUAAUAGCUCUUGCAAGUAUUGUUGCUGCACUUAGUAGUAUACUGUGUAUUGUUACAGGUAGAUCUCGUCGUUCAAAUGUAAGUUGCUUUGGAUAAAAAAAUCUGCCAAAUGAGUAAAUGUAAAUGUUUUCCGCUGCAUUUAUAAAAAGAAAUACUACUUAAUUAUUCUGUUUCUAUGUUGUACCAGGCUGGUAUCAAGUGAUUGGGCAGACACCCCCUGGAGGGAGGGUUGUGUUUGGGAUUUAGGGCCUUGGAUAUCUCCCUGCAGAGAAAUUUUACAUUCACAUUAUUAUGCUACACCUACCACGGGAUAAUCUUUAUCAUAGUUUAUUGUAGACUAUAACGUUAGUUAUUAUGUCAGCUGUUUCUGAAGUGAUAUGAAAAUAUCAUAGAAGGCUAAAGUCCAUUGAUAUUGCUGUGAAUAAGCAGAUAUCAAUAAAGCUUUUUGCAUACCUAAAAGGAGAAUCAACCACAAUGGCGUAGCAUGUCCUGGCAGUUAAGUGAAGUUAAAAUGCUCACUGCAGUUCAAUCUGGAGCUGAAAUAUGAAGUCUUAUCCAAUCCACGGUUCUUAAGAACGGUUAAACGGUUUCAACUUGGAACCGGUCCUUGAUGCCCAACCCUAACCAUGAGGUCAACAUUUAAAUUUGGUUUAUGAUUACAUAUCUGCAAAAGUAAUGACGUCCCAUCAGCCUCAGCUGUACUUUGUGUUCAGUGCUAACUAGCAAAUUUAAGGCAUGCUAAACUUUAAUAGAGAUCAUGGUGAACAUUAUAUUAGCAUUAUCAUUGUGAGUAUGUUAGCAUGGGGACAUUAGCAUUUAGCUUAAAGCACCUAUAUGUUGUACAGGCUCUCAGAGGUGCUGUAGACUCUGGUUGCAUCCCAGAAACGAGGCGUCCUUUCCUUCGAAGCAUCACGUGAAGGUUUGUCUGCUUCUGAUGAUUGGGUGUGAUAAAUCUGUGGAUAGUUUGUCCUUUUGAUUAUUCCAUUUCAACACCAAUUCGGAAAAACAAUCAACAAUCAUUCAACAGUCAUCCUCUAAACACUCUUGUUGAAGCAUAAUGUGUAAGUACUCUUAUUUUUUUCAGCUGUGUUUCUGUUUCAAGUGUGUUAGUGUUAAGUGAUAUUGAAUUUGCAUCUGUGAGAUUUUACUUACUCUAUAUAUAUAUAUAUAUAUAUAAUUACCAUUUUAACAGCCGACCCUGAUUGCUGUUGCUGUCAGUAUGCUUUAGAAAGAAGCUGAAGAGGGGGCUGCCCAACUGAGGAGGCGAAUGUGUCAAAGAGGAUGCGAUGGAGGAUAGAGAAAAGAUGCAUGAGCAUGUCUCUCUAAGUUUGUCUAAUCAUUAUGCUUUUUUGUAAACUUGACAGUCCACUUGGUACACCUAGAUAAAAGUCGAUUGCCGUUUAAGUUUGGAAAGCAUUAUUUUUUUGUCAGCUGUAGUUUGUGUUGCUGUUAUACAGAAAGUUGUUUCUAAUAUUCAGUCUAUCUCGAUUUAUACAGGAUGAGCAAAUACCUCUCAAACUGAUCGCAUAAAAGACAUAAACUGGCUGAUAGUUUUAAUAGUCUAAUAAUAAAAAUGGGUUAUCCUACAUGCCACAUACAUACCUACUCUCUGUCUUUUUGAUACUCAGUUUGACAAGCCUUGGUACAGUAAGGUGCUCAAACAUCACUGUGCAUUAAUGCACAAAGUACCUGUACCUCAUCUGUCACAUAGAUCAGUAGUUGGCAACCAGGGUAUACUUCAACACAAACAGGACAUUUUAUCUCUGUGAUACAGUAAUCUUGUAGGCCACAGUAACUUCUUGACUCCUGGGGAGACGUUUGCUCUCUCUGCAUAUCAGGCAAUGAAAGAAAUAGAAACCUUCUUAAGCAUAAGCAAGCUCCUGACCAAACAGGGCCGAGCUUAGACAGCAAUUUAAUUCUAGCAGACUUCAACAAUUCAUAUCAGACCAUUCAUAUUGAGAAAUUAUCUGAAUAAAUAUUAAAAACACACAAAUAAGCAAUAAAUGUAAGUAUGACAGCAAUUAAUAGACAAUGUUAAGAAAAUCAAGAGAUGUCAGUCUUUUUUUAAACAGGACGAAAGCCCUUGGAACAGCCUGAACAUGCUGGUCCAGAUGCUGCCCUGGCAAAGAACCCAUCGAUUGAUCUAUGAAGUUCAGGUGCUAGUCUCCUGGCUCGCCUAUGGAAACUCUUCCAGGGUAACUUCAGAUAUCUUUGACAAGCCACUAGCCACAGUCUGCAGGACCAUACAUUUCCCCAAACCAGAAGCGAUGGAGUAGGCGGGACUGACUUUGUCGCCUUGCUGACCAUGAGGCCUUCUGCUGUGCUGCCGGUGCCAUCGAUGGGUGCCGCGUCAGGAUUCUUCCUCCUGCAGAGCCACAGAAGAAAUGCUGUAUUUCCCCUCAGUGCUGCUGCAGGGCCUUUGUGAUGCCACAGGCCCAUUUCUGGAUGUGUACAUUGGCAAUCCAGGAUCUGUACAAAGUACCAACCUGUAUCCACCAGCUGGGUACUUCCUGUUAGGAGAUGGAGGAUACCCAUGCCUGCAGCGUCCUGUUGAAAUUAUGACACCAUACCGCCAGCGUGUAGCAAGCCAAGUUGAAACCCAGGACUGCAGACACCAUGCAAGGGCAAGGAACAUUAGGGGGAGCACACCAUUAGGAUCCUGAAAACAUCCUGGGGGUCAGUCUUCUUAAGGCCCUGGAGUUCGGCCAUCUGUUUGGUGACUGGUGCUUCCUCCACAACAUUUGUGUGGCAGCAGGUGAAAUCCUGGAGGAUAAAGAAGGCGGCCCGGGCCAAGAUGACAGCGAGGAUAACGGGGUCAACGCAGAACUGGAUGAGAAGGACCUGUCGGGAAACAGACAGAGGAAGGGCUGCCGCCAAGCCUUCUGCUUUUGAGCAACUGCCUGCAUGUCUGGGUGAAUGUGAACACAUCUGGACAGCAAACCUCUCCAGAUGUGUUCAUGUUCACUAGAACUUUAAAAACAUUUAAAACAUAGUUUAGAUGGUAUCAUAGAUGGAUAGAUGUUUGUUUGUUUAUAUGUUGUACAUAUUCCAUUUGUUGCAAUGUUCUUUUCCUUGUGGGUAUUUUGAAAUUUAACUGCACGAUUGUAAAUUGUUCAUAACUGCAAAAUAUAGUACUUUUGUUUGUUUUUUUUUGUAAAUACACACAAACAAUUGCUUUCGAGAAUGAAUUGCUUGGCUUGAAUUUCAAAAUGAAUACUGUUUAUUAAGAAUCUAUCUAAGUUUCUCAACAGAGUCAGAUUCUUCUGCACAAGAGGUCGAGGCCUGUGAGGGUCAGGUUUGCUGCAACAACCGGGGUUGGACUGAUCCAGUUCAGAAUCUAUUGCACCACCGCCAGGUGGCAGCACUCACACUACCAGCCUCUUCUCCUUUGACUGUGGGUGGGACCCUAAGCUCCUGGAAAUUGGGUUUUAAUGACAACACUGUGAAACGGUUUCCUCAGUUGUCCCUUGAUUAAAAUAUUAUUUAUGUGAGUUUUAAUGCACAAUGUCAUUAUCAGUGCUCUUAGUACAAAGGUUAAAAAAAUAUAAAGUUAUGAACCUUAACUUUGGCCUCAGACCGAUUUCCCUGGGAGCAAAUAAUAGAUUUAGAUUUUGAUCCCCAAAACUAUUUAUAUCUCUUUUAUUAGGCUGUUCUCUGUUUGGUACCAAGUUAAUUUAUUAAACACUUAAGGCAAAACACAUGUUCAAGACAUUUAUAACACUAAUGAACAAUACAAAAACAAUUUACAAGUUUAAACUGAAAAGAUGAAAAUUAAAUUAAAAGCAAACAAAUGAUUUUGACAGUAGGAGGUUGGUAUCAGCUGUGUGUUGGAUAAUAACUCAAUUCUGUUUCUCUUAACUUUGAACAAUUAACUGUUAACUCUUACCAGGUGACCUGAGAGGACAGAAACAGAAAACAAUUUUAAACCUUUUUUGCUAUCUGUAAAGUAUUUGAUAAUGUCCAGCUGCCACUAUAAAGACAGUCAGUUUAACUGACUGCUAACUCUUACUGGUUGAUUUUAAAAUUGUUCCAUUGCUGCCUAUUUGUCAGGUUUAUUUUUAUUAUUCAUAAAUGUCCUUUUCGAAGAACUUGUUUUGGUGUUUUAUAUAGUUGUAUAGUUACAAUCAGGGAUGGGCAAAAAUUCAUCAAAGUGUAAAAAACUAAGACACCAAAUACCGUCAUUCUGAUUGUAUCAAAAUAAAGUACUGUAUUCCAAAUAAAUAAAAAAUACUUUUCAAAGAUA